rnacentral:rRNA from 1 species
UGCAGUCGAGCGGACUUGCUGGAGCUUGCUCCAGCAAGUUAGCGGCGGACGGGUGAGUAACACGUGGGCAACCUGCCUGUAAGACUGGGAUAACUCCGGGAAACCGGAGCUAAUACCGGAUAGUAUCUUGAACCGCAUGGUUCAAGUUGGAAAGACGGUUUCGGCUGUCACUUACAGAUGGGCCCGCGGCGCAUUAGCUAGUUGGUGAGGUAAUGGCUCACCAAGGCAACGAUGCGUAGCCGACCUGAGAGGGUGAUCGGCCACACUGGGACUGAGACACGGCCCAGACUCCUACGGGAGGCAGCAGUAGGGAAUCUUCCGCAAUGGACGAAAGUCUGACGGAGCAACGCCGCGUGAGUGAUGAAGGUUUUCGGAUCGUAAAACUCUGUUGUUAGGGAAGAACAAGUGCGAGAGUAACUGCUCGCACCUUGACGGUACCUAACCAGAAAGCCACGGCUAACUACGUGCCAGCAGCCGCGGUAAUACGUAGGUGGCAAGCGUUGUCCGGAAUUAUUGGGCGUAAAGCGCGCGCAGGCGGUUUCUUAAGUCUGAUGUGAAAGCCCCCGGCUCAACCGGGGAGGGUCAUUGGAAACUGGGAAACUUGAGUGCAGAAGAGGAGAGUGGAAUUCCACGUGUAGCGGUG